rnacentral:lncRNA from 1 species
GGCUCAAAUGUUAAUAUUAUGAAACAUUGGUGUUUUUUUUUUCUAGCUUGCAUUUUAUACUUUCCCUACACCUUUGGUGAGGAAAGUUUCUCAAGAAGAAUGGAUGGAUUUCUGAAGUUUGGGAUCUUGUUUGAUCCUGGUCUUGACUUUUCGUUAAAUUUCAUCUACCAGGGUCCAAAGUUCUGCAAGUUAAAAAGCGGUUGGCCAAGCAUUCUUAUCUUGAAGACUGAACAAGGUGUGGUAAUACUGACGUGAGGCUCCACAGCAUUGGGAAAUUUACAUUUAAUUCCUUUCCACAAUGUGUCUGUAAUCUCCUCAGGAAGAAAAUGUUAUUCUCACCAUCCCCUCCCACCCCAAUUUUGUUGAUGAAUUUUCUUAUAAUUUAGAAUGUAUGUUAACUUUGCCAUUUUAUUUUGUUUGAUUUGGCAGAGCCAAUUUAAUUUGAAGUUUCUGUUUAGAUCUUCUUUCCUUCUUACACACCCCACCUCUUAGGAUUCCUAGCCACUGGAAAAUGGAGAAGAGGUGUGGAAGAUGAAUCACUUACGUGUAAAAGGUGGUAUGGUCCUCCUGGGAGAUUCCUUCAGCAAGUUUAGUUCCUUGCUAACAAGGUUAACCCAGAUAAGGUCUUUAUUUUGGUAUGGAUGAUAUCUCCUUGAUAACCUAUGGACUUGCCUUAUUUUGAGUACCCCAUGUUUCUUCACUAUCGAAUUAAAUCCCUCUCCCAAAAAAUCUCACCCCUCUUCCUAACUUCCCUAUUUCUGUCAAGGGCACCACCAUACUUCUAAUCCCGCUUCAUCUAGAAUGUAGGAAUUGUCCUUCAUUCUUCCUCUCCUUCUUCCCACCCCAUCCAAUUAGUCAGUUACUUCUACCUACAUAACAUCUCUUGUAUUUAUCGUCUCCUGUAUAAUCACAAAGCCACCACUCUAAUUCAAGCCCAUAUCAGUUCUCACCUAGACUAUUCCAGGGGUGUCUUUACUGUUCUCUUUCUAUUGAACUCCUUCCCUUUCUAAUCUGUCUUCCACACAGCUGACAAAUUGAUACUGGUCAACUACAGACCCAGCAUGGUCAGUCCCUUCCUUGCUCAGAAAGGUUCAAUGGCUCCCAAUUUGCUUUAGGAUAAGACAUCAAUUUCUGUUUGGCAUUUAAAGCCCUCUACUAUCUGGCUCCUACUUAUCUUUCCAGGCUGAUUCCCCAUGAUUUCCCAUCAAGUACUCUACUUUCUAGACACACUGGCUUGCUCACUGCUGCUCAAAUA